rnacentral:rRNA from 1 species
UGGGGAAUUUUGCACAAUGGGGGAAACCCUGAUGCAGCGACGCCGCGUGAUUUAGAAGGCCUUCGGGUUGUAAAAAUCUUUUUUACGGGAUGAAAAUGACAGUACCGUAAGACUAAGGUCCGGCUAAAUACGUGCCAGCAGCCGCGGUAAUACGUAUGGACCGAGCGUUGUCCGGAAUCAUUGGGCGUAAAGGGUACGUAGGCGGCCUAGUAAGUUAGAAGUGAAAUAAUAUAGCUCAACUAUAUAAAGCUUUUAAAACUGCUAGGCUUGAGAGAUGGAAGGGAAAGUGGAAUUCCGAGUGUAGCGGUGAAAUGCGCAGAUAUUAGGAAGAAUACCGGUGGCGAAGGCGACUUUCUGGUCAUCAUCUGACGCUGAGGUACGAAAGCGUGGGUAGCAAACAGG